AAUAUGUGGCAUACGGCUCAGUAACACGUAGUCAACAUGCCCAGGGGACGUGGAUAACCUCGGGAAACUGAGGAUAAACCGCGAUAGGUCAUCACUUCUGGAAUGGGUAAUGACUUAAAUCUAUAUGGCCCCUGGAUUGGACUGCGGCCGAUCAGGCUGUUGGUGAGGUAAUGGCCCACCAAACCUGUAACCGGUACGGGCUCUGAGAGGAGGAGCCCGGAGAUGGGCACUGAGACAAGGGCCCAGGCCCUAUGGGGCGCAGCAGGCGCGAAACCUCUGCAAUAGGCGAAAGCUUGACAGGGUUACUCUGAGUGAUUUCCGUUAAGGAGAUCUUUUGGCACCUCUAAAAAUGGUGCAGAAUAAGGGGUGGGCAAGUCUGGUGUCAGCCGCCGCGGUAAUACCAGCACCCCGAGUGGUCGGGACGUUUAUUGGGCCUAAAGCAUCCGUAGCCGGUUCUACAAGUCUUCCGUUAAAUCCACCUGCUUAACAGAUGGGCUGCGGAAGAUACUAUAGAGCUAGGAGGCGGGAGAGGCAAGCGGUACUCGAUGGGUAGGGGUAAAAUCCGUUGACCCAUUGAAGACCACCAGUGGCGAAGGCGGCUUGCCAGAACGCGCUCGACGGUGAGGGAUGAAAGCUGGGGGAGCAAACCGGAUUAGAUACCCGGGUAGUCCCAGCUGUAAACGAUGCAGACUCGGUGAUGAGUUGGCUUAUUGCUAACUCAGUGCCGCAGGGAAGCCGUUAAGUUUGCCGCCUGGGGAGUACGGUCGCAAGACUGAA
rnacentral:rRNA from 1 species